GGAGCGGGGCCGCCGGGGGGGGGGUGUGGAGGCGGGAGGCUGGUUUCGCCACCAGGGCGGGGGGGCGCGGGGAGCCGCGCCUGGAAGAGCACAUUGUGGAGGGCCGGGGAGGGCCCUUCCUCCCGGAGGAAGAGACAAUGUCCAGGGCCGGGCGCCUGCUGGAGAGCCGCGAGAAUGCACGGCCGGCGGCACGGCUCGAUGAUUCUCCCUAUCGCACCGUGGGAGCAGAAGAGGACCCUACUCCGCCAAGCAGCAGCAUCCCUCAACGCUGCAGCCUCUUGUCUGAAUGUUGCAUCUCGGCUGUUGUUAAAUCGGUGGCUCUUCAGGGCAGCUCCCUGACAGCGAGGCUGCCCACCGAGCUCGGCCGUGCCCCCCAGCACGGCCCUGUGCAGGGACACCGUGCUGCCAGGUCCCCGGGAGGGCUGGGGAUGCUGUGACCCGGCUCCGGGCGGGCAGCGCGUGGUGUCCUGGCAUCCCCCAGGACGGUACCCGCUCCCAGGCAGGGCCCCGAGAGCCGCGGGUCGGUGACCUCCCGCCCGGUUGGGGAUCGCCGCGAUGGGUGCUGGCAUCUCGGCAUCCCCCUCCCCAGCCCGUCUCACGUCUCUUGCUGUUUAAUGGUUAUGAAGGAAAUUUUUACAAAAUAAACCAAGUGUAACGGAUUCAGCGGCGGAGCCUGCGGUAGGCCGGUGC